UACGGAGGGUGCGAGCGUUGUCCGGAAUCACUGGGCGUAAAGGGCGCGUAGGCGGCCUGAUAAGUAGGGGGUGAAAUCCUGCGGCUUAACCGCAGGGCUGCCUUCUAAACUGUCAGGCUAGAGCACAGUAGAGGCAGGUGGAAUUCCCGGUGUAGCGGUGGAAUGCGUAGAGAUCCGGAAGAACACCGGAGGCGAAGGCGGCUUGCUGGACCUGGUCUGACGCUGAGGCGCGAAAGCGUGGGGAGCGAACAGG
rnacentral:rRNA from 1 species